UGCCUAGCACGAAUAACUAUCGCAUUCGUAACGUAAUAGUAUCGAGACGUCGAAACGUCAUGUGACGAAAACGGAAUGUCGCAGCACGAAGCCUAUCGUAUCGUCUUUCGAGAGCUCGAAUCAAAUUCGUUAGUGACGUCAUGCUAAUGUAAAAUAGAGAAGCACCCAAGUGAACGAAUUGAAUGCAUAAUGAUUACGUCUGAAAACUAAACCAUUUUUAAAAUAUUUUUCUACCUUUGUCUGCACGAUUAAGGCUUUGAUAUUUUGUUAAGAUAUAUUGGUUAAGCAAAAAAAGGUCAAGAAUGGAGUUUACGGUUAUGUAAAGUGACAUAAUCGUAUUACUACAACCAAAAGAGGUACUAGUUAAUUUGUAAUUUCAUAAAAUAUUUUACAAUUUCCGAACGUCGUGUUUGACAGAGGUCAAAUGCCAUUAUGUCAAGUUAAUUGUUUGUUUAUACGUUUAUUAAGAUUUCUAUUUUAAUUAAUAUAAAAGAACUCAAUUCUAAUGCAAAAUAAGGGUGGAGUUAAUGGAAAGUAUCGAUUCCAGGAGUUUGUCUAAGCCAGCUUUUCAACCCCACAAACUACUUCUACUCCAUUAGAGAAUGAAUAGACCAGCAAAGAAGACUAAACUUGAACUGACGAAAUUGUUCUUGCAACUUGAUAAUAAACAAGUGAUGAUGCUAGGAAGUGUGAGAAAAGAUAAUGAAAUAUAAUGGUGCUGACAUGGUGCUCCUAUACGUGUCUUCAUGUGGAAUACAAUGAAACAAAUUAAGCAUGUACAACAUUAUAGUACUAGAUUUAAUUUUUUUCUUGAAUCUCUUUGUACAAUAAAAUUUGUCUUUAAAUA